rnacentral:rRNA from 1 species
ACACUGUACGAGUUUGAUCCUGGCUCAGAUUGAACGCUGGCGGAAUGCUUUACACAUGCAAGUCGAGCGGCAGCGCGGGGCAACCUGGCGGCGAGCGGCGAACGGGUGAGUAAUGCAUCGGAACGUACCCCCGUCGUGGGGGAAUAACUACCCGAAAGGGUAGCUAAUACCGCAUACGACCUGAGGGUGAAAGCGGGGGGACCGAAAAGGCCUCGCGCGAUGGGAGCGGCCGAUGCCGGAUUAGCUAGUUGGUAGGGUAAAGGCCUACCAAGGCGACGAUCCGUAGCUGGUCUGAGAGGACGACCAGCCACACUGGAACUGAGACACGGCCCAGACUCCUACGGGAGGCAGCAGUGGGGAAUUUUGGACAAUGGGCGCAAGCCUGAUCCAGCAAUGCCGCGUGCAGGAAGAAGGCCUUCGGGUUGUAAACUGCUUUUGUACGGAACGAAAAGGUCUGGGUUAAUACCCUGGGCUCAUGACGGUACCGUAAGAAUAAGCACCGGCUAACUACGUG